UACGGGGGGAGCAAGCGUUGUCCGGAAUCAUUGGGCGUAAAGAGCGUGUAGGCGGCCCCUUAAGUCCUGCGUGAAAUCCUGCGGCUCAACCGCAGACGGUCGUGGGAAACUGGAGGGCUAGAGUGCGGGAGAGGAGAGUGGAAUUCCCGGUGUAGCGGUGAAAUGCGCAGAUAUCAGGAAGAACACCCGUGGCGAAGGCGGCUCUCUGGAACGGUACUGACGCUGAGACGCGAAAGCGUGGGGAGCGAACAGG
rnacentral:rRNA from 1 species